rnacentral:sRNA from 1 species
UCUUAGCCCGGAUAGCAGCGGUUACCCCGCAAACAUGAGAUGGAGAGUUGGAGGAAUUUAGAGAUGGAAAAGCAACGGCGUGAGGAGUAAUAGCGGAUAGCCGGAAUAAGC